UCUAGAUUUGCCAUGGUAAUAAGGCUUUUGCCAUGGAAUUCCAUGGAGUUCCGUGGCAAUUAGCAUGGAAAUCCGUGGAAUAUUGAAAUUUUCCAUGGACAUUGAAUGGAACAGUAAGUUUGCCAUGGAUUUCCAUGGAUUACAGCUGAAAUAUUGAUCAUUUUCCGCGGAAACAGGAGCUUUUGCCAUGGAAAAUUGGACUUAGUAAAAUUUUGGGAUGGAAAAUAGCAUAGAAAAUAACUUAGAAAAUUUUUGUGAUGGAAAUUGAUGGGAACUGUGGACUUAGAAUUUUUGGGAGGUAUUUCUUGUGAACAUAGAAUAUUUUAAUGGAUUAGUAUGUUUUAUGACCAAUAACUAAAACUAACUUAAUUAGAUAGGUAAAACAACUAAUGGAAUUACAGUAAAACCUGUCUUAAGAAGCCAGCCAAGGCAGUAGGAAAAAGUGGCUGCUUAUGGCAGAUGGCUGCUUCAUGCAGGUAAUUUAUAGCAUGAAUGACCAUUUUGGGAAAUGACGUACUGGCUGCCUAAGACAGGUUGGCUGCUUAAUAGAGGUGACUGCUAAAGCAGGUUUUACUGUAAAACAUUUAUUGUAAUGCAACUUGUCAUAUAAACUCACCUUGCAGAUAGGUUCAUUUUGAACUAAUCUUUAAAAAAAUAUUGAAAUAUCAUGACUUUUUCUCCUAGAAUAACACCAAAAAGAACAGCACUAACAAUAGUUACAUAUAUAAUAUUACAAUUCUUUACACCAAAAUUCAUUAAAAGUUACCUGGCCAAGGGAUUCUUAAUUUGAUUAAUCAAGUAAUAAAUUAUUUGGUUCUUUUAAUCUUCUGUAGUGUACCUGUUGCUUGUCUCACAACAGGAGAUUAUCCCAGACUGCAUGAUAAGAUCUUGUCUGCUUUAUAUUUAGAAACUCAUAACAAGAGAUCAACCAAUGAAAAUAAAGUCUGUGAACUACUUCUGGGGGCUGUAAAUGUACCUCAAAAAGUAAUCCUGAACUUUUUUUCUGUUUAAUAUCAGGGUAAACUUCAAAAAUAAUGAGUAUGUAAAUGGAAUAAAAUCAACCUGUGGUACAAAAUACCUUUAACAUCCUAGAUGUAUCCUCAAAUAGCUGACUGUAAAUGACACAUUUGCCCAAGAAUAUCAAAAUUUCAAAUCUACACAGGAAGUUCUUUGUUUGAGAGCAGGAUGGAGUGGAGUUAUUUUACGUGUUUUACAUGCAGCUUGGAAGUUAACAAUAACUAAAAGAAUACACCAGGAGUAUAUAAACAGCAUACAUGAAUGAAUGAAUGGAGAUAAUUCAGUUUAGUGACCCAAUGUAUUGUGUUCAAAGGAGACUCCAUCCAACAAUUCAAAGACAUGUUAAUGCAGUGAGACAACUGAUGGCAAAUGAUGGCUUUGUGGCAGUUAAUGAAAACUACAUGAUAUUUUAAACUGAUGGUGGCCAACAGUGACAGAAAAUUUCUCAACCAAUAGUUACAUUCAGUUGAAAAUGAUGGCAUAUCUUAUACCGACUAUACUGCAUUAUGACAAACAGUGGAAAACAUUGAUAUACUACAAUGACAGUGGAACUGAAUAGAAACUGGUGACAUUUUAGCUCCAUAUUGUUUGUACUAUUUUCUGUCACCUAGUGAAGAAAUGUCAAAAUUCAUAAGCAGUUUUGUUAUACUACUGACUAUUAUGAAAUUAUAAAUUAAGAUGUGACAUUCAUAAUGGUUUCUGAUUUUCAUUUCAGUCCAGUUCUGUCACCAACAAGUUUCCAUGGUAUUUCCGCAGAUUUCCACAGUUAUUUGCCAUGGCAUGCCGUCCGAAUACUCCACGGAUUGCCAUGGAAUUUCGCUGGUUUCCAUGGUCAUCUGUGGUGUACCAUGGAAAACCGUGGAUUUCCAUGGAAACACAUGGAUUUCCACGGAACUAUGUGGCAUUCCAUUGAAAUCCAUGGAACUCCACGGAUUUUUUUCUUCGUAUUUUUGUUUCAUAAAAAAAUGAUAUAAAUUGGUAGUCCGAAUACUCCAUGGAAUAUUUUCCGUGGAUUUCCAUAGAAUUCCAUGGCAAAUCUAGAGA